rnacentral:rRNA from 4 species
AACCUGGUUGAUCCUGCCAGUAGUCAUAUGCUUGUCUCAAAGAUUAAGCCAUGCAUGUCUAAGUACAUGCCGAAAUAAGGCGAAACCGCGAAUGGCUCAUUAAAUCAGUUAUGGUUCCUUAGAUCGUUUCUUCCUACUUGGAUAACUGUGGCAAUUCUAGAGCUAAUACAUGCAGUGAGCCUGGAGCCCUUUGGGUAACGGGUGCUUUUAUUAGACCAAGAUCGAUCGGGUUUCGGCCCGUAUUGUGUGGUGACUCUGGAUAACUUUGUGCUGAUCGCAUGGCCACGAGCCGGCGACGUUUCUUUCAAGUGUCUGCCUUAUCAACUUUCGAUGGUAGGUUACUUGCUUACCAUGGUUGUUACGGGUAACGGAGAAUCAGGGUUCGAUUCCGGAGAGGGAGCCUGAGAAACGGCUACCACAUCCAAGGAAGGCAGCAGGCGCGCAAAUUACCCACUCCCGGCACGGGGAGGUAGUGACGAAAAAUAACAAUACGGGACUCUUUUGAGGCCCCGUAAUUGAAAUGAGUACACUCUAAAUCCUUUAACGAGGAUCAAUUGGAGGGCAAGUCUGGUGCCAGCAGCCGCGGUAAUUCCAGCUCCAAUAGCGUAUACUAAAGCUGCUGCGGUUAAAAAGCUCGUAGUUGGAUCUCAGUUCCAGACGAGUAGUGCAUCUACCCGAUGCGACGGCUCGGACUGAACAUCAUGCCGGUUCUUUCUUGGUGCACUUCAUUGUGUGCCUCGAGAUGGCCGGUGCUUUUACUUUGAAAAAAUUAGAGUGCUCAACGCAGGCGAGUCGCCUGAAUAAACUUGCAUGGAAUAAUAGAACAAGACCUCGUUUCUGUUCUGUUGGUUUUUGGAAUACGAGGUAAUGAUUAAGAGGGACGGACGGGGGCAUUCGUAUUGCGGCGCUAGAGGUGAAAUUCUUGGACCGUCGCAAGACGAACUACUGCGAAAGCAUUUGCCAAGAAUGUUUUCAUUGAUCAAGAACGAAAGUCAGAGGUUCGAAGGCGAUCAGAUACCGCCCUAGUUCUGACCAUAAACGAUGCCAACCAGCGAUCCGCCUGAGUUACUCAAAUGACUCGGCGGGCAGCUUCCGGGAAACCAAAGUAUUUGGGUUCCGGGGGAAGUAUGGUUGCAAAGCUGAAACUUAAAGGAAUUGACGGAAGGGCACCACCAGGAGUGGAGCCUGCGGCUUAAUUUGACUCAACACGGGAAAACUUACCCGGCCCGGACACUGGGAGGAUUGACAGAUUGAGAGCUCUUUCUUGAUUCGGUGGAUGGUGGUGCAUGGCCGUUCUUAGUUGGUGGAGCGAUUUGUCUGGUUAAUUCCGAUAACGAACGAGACUCUAGCCUAUUAAAUAGGUGCGGGGUUCCCAGCACCUUACAACCUUCUUAGAGGGACAAGCGGCUCCUAGCCGCACGAAACAGAGCAAUAACAGGUCUGUGAUGCCCUUAGAUGUCCGGGGCCGCACGCGCGCUACACUGAAGGAAGCAGCGUGUCUUUAUCCCUGUCUGAAAAGACUGGGUAACCCGUGGAACUUCUUUCGUGAUUGGGAUAGGGGCUUGCAAUUGUUCCCCUUGAACGAGGAAUUCCCAGUAAGCGCGAGUCAUAAGCUCGCGUUGAUUACGUCCCUGCCCUUUGUACACACCGCCCGUCGCUACUACCGAUUGAAUGAUUUAGUGAGGUCUUCGGACCGAUGUCCGGCGCGGCCUUUCGGUUGCGCCGGUCUGUUGGAAAGAUGACCAAACUUGAUCAUUUAGAGGAAGUAAAAGUCGUAACAAGGUUUCCGUAGGUGAACCUGCGGAAGGAUCA